rnacentral:rRNA from 1 species
AUUGAACGCUGGCGGCAUGCUUUACACAUGCAAGUCGAACGGCAGCGGGGGCUUCGGCCUGCCGGCGAGUGGCGAACGGGUGAGUAAUGCAUCGGAACGUGCCCAUGUCGUGGGGGAUAACGUAGCGAAAGACUACGCUAAUACCGCAUACGUCCUGAGGGAGAAAGCGGGGGAGUCUUUGGACCUCGCGCGAUUGGAGCGGCCGAUGUCGGAUUAGCUAGUAGGUGAGGUAAAGGACUCACCUAGGCGACGAUCCGUAGCGGGUCGUGAGAGGAUGAUCCGCCACACUGGGACUGAGACACGGCCCAGACUCCUACGGGAGGC